AUUGAACGCUGGCGGCAUGCUUUACACAUGCAAGUCGAACGGCAGCACGGGCUUCGGCCUGGUGGCGAGUGGCGAACGGGUGAGUAAUAUAUCGGAACGUACCCAGAAGUGGGGGAUAACGUAGCGAAAGUUACGCUAAUACCGCAUACGAUCUAUGGAUGAAAGCAGGGGACCGCAAGGCCUUGUGCCCCUGGAGCGGCCGAUAUCUGAUUAGCUAGUUGGUGAGGUAAAGGCUCACCAAGGCGACGAUCAGUAGCUGGUCUGAGAGGACGACCAGCCACACUGGAACUGAGACACGGUCCAGACUCCUACGGGAGGCAGCAGUGGGGAAUUUUGGACAAUGGGCGCAAGCCUGAUCCAGCAAUGCCGCGUGAGUGAAGAAGGCCUUCGGGUUGUAAAGCUCUUUUGUCAGGGAAGAAACGGUAGAGGCUAAUAUCCUUUGCUAAUGACGGUACCUGAAGAAUAAGCACCGGCUAACUACGUG
rnacentral:rRNA from 1 species